rnacentral:rRNA from 1 species
GACGAACGCUGGCGGCGUGCUUAACACAUGCAAGUCGAACGAAAAGAGGGAAAGAGCUUGCUCUUUCCGGAAUUGAGUGGCAAACGGGUGAGUAACACGUAAACAACCUGCCUUCAGGAUGGGGACAACAGACGGAAACGACUGCUAAUAACGAAUAAGUUCCAAGAGCCGCAUGGCCCAUGGAAGAAAAGGUGGCCUCUACCUGUAAGCUAUCGCCUGAAGAGGGGUUUGCGGCUGAUUAGCUGGUUGGAGGGGUAACGGCCCACCAAGGCGACGAGCAGUAACCGCUCAGCGAGGCGGAGCGCCCACGCUGGUACGGGGGCAUGAUCCAGAACACUACGGCUGGCAGCCGGGGGGAACCUUCCGGAGAGGGCGCAAGGGGGACUGUGGAACGCCGCGCGAGUGAUGGCGGCCUUCAUGUUGUGUAAAUGUUGAAUCCGGUACGAAAGGGCAGUGUUCGAAGAACAGACGGCAUUGACGGUACCGGAAGAGCAAGCUACGGCUAACUACGUG